CCCUUAGAUGUUCUGGGCCGCACGCGCGCUACACUGAUGCAUUCAACGAGUUUCUUCCUGGACCGAGAGGAAUGGGUAACCUUUUGAAAGUGCAUCGUGAUAGGGAUAGACUAUUGCAAUUAUUGGUCUUCAACGAGGAAUUCCUAGUAGACGUAGUUCAUCAGACUGCAUCGAUUACGUCCCUGCCCUUUGUACACACCGCCCGUCGCUCCUACCGAUUGAAUGCUCAGGUGAGCCAUUCGGACUUUCAUCAUGCUGGUUUCCAGUUUUGAUGAAGGAAAGUCUUGCGAACCUUAUCAUUUAGAGGAAGGAGAAGUCGUAACA
rnacentral:rRNA from 1 species